rnacentral:misc_RNA from 1 species
GAUGAAGAACGCAGCGAAAUGCGAUAAGUAAUGUGAAUUGCAGAAUUCCGUGAAUCAUCGAAUCUUUGAACGCACAUUGCGCCCCCUGGCAUUCCGGGGGGCAUGCCUGUCCGAGCGUCAUUUCUGCCCUCAAGCACGGCUUGUGUGUUGGGUGUGGUCCCCCCGGGGACCUGCCCGAAAGGCAGCGGCGACGUCCGUCUGGUCCUCGAGCGUAUGGGGCUCUGUCACUCGCUCGGGAAGGACCUGCGGGGGUUGGUCACCACUAUAUUUUACCACGGUUGACCUCGGAUCAGGUAGGAGUUACCCGCUGAACUUAAGCAUAUCAAUAAGCGGAGA